rnacentral:rRNA from 1 species
CUAGUAAUGGCAGGUCAGCAUACUGCCGUGAAUACGUUCCCGGGCCUUGUACACACCGCCCGUCACACCAUGAGAGUUGGAAAUACCCGAAGCCUGUGAGCUAACAGUAAUGAGGCAGCAGUCGAAGGUAGAGCCAAUGAUUGGGGUGAAGUCGUAACAAGGUAGC